AAAAUCUUUAAUAUUGUAAAAUCCGUAAAACUGCAACAUCCCGUGAGUGUCUGCAUAAAGCCCAUCUGCUCCUGGGGACAGUUCAGCCUGUCCAGUCCAUGGGAGCUCUCACAUUGCUUCGAGUUUUUCCCUGAAUUGAUACAGAAACUUUUUCUUUGAACGCUACAAUUUUAGACAAUUUCUUCAUCUUUAUUGCUUGGAAAGAAUAUCCUGAAAGGUAUAAAUUGGUGCCAAACAAAUAGUCUCAUUUCUGUCUUACAUUUUAGCUGCCAACUUGUUUUCCUUGAAGAUGGCUGUGCUUGGGGUGGUUGUUCAUGGCUUGAGUGCUAUGUAUUUGAUGCAAAUACAUUCUUAUGCCUUGGCAGCUUUUCCAUUUUUCUUUUUUUUCUUCUUUUUUUCUCCUUUUUUCUAUUUUUUCUCCCUACCCUCCCAUUUCCUCAUGAGACCAAAUAUUACAAAGUGCUACAGAGCCUACCACCAACCUGCCUUCUCUACCUGAACUUCCAAGAGCUUCUCCACUCUCCUCCAUCUUCCUCACCCCUUGUUUUGAAGCCAGGGGAUGAUAUUAUUUCUGGGGAACCACUCUUUGCACAAAGAUGCUGAAUUUCAUCACCUGCUGCUGAAAGCAGCUCAGCUACACCAAACAGCACGAUGACAUCUCAUUGUCUGGAACCAGUAAGGCACCAAGGAGACUGAUCAGCACUUUUCUUGUUAAGGAAAGGUGAGACUGAGUUUACAUUUACGCUGAGAAAGGGCUUUGCUGGGUAGCUUUACCAGGCAGUAUGCCUCAUUCCAAGGGGCACAGUCUCUUGGCACGUUGUUGUGGAGGUAGAGAGGCUCACAUUUCCCACUCCUGGAGCCCUCCUUGCAUAGUAACCUUUUUCUUAUUUACCCAUGUUUUCCCCUUGUGCUUGAGCCACCCUGGAUACAUACAGUCUGCUGCUCAAGCCCGUCCUGCUAAUGCCUAUCCCACACAAAAGACAACAUCUAGCUGGUGCCUGAGCUGGGGUUUAGCUAUUUCUUUCACACCAGAGCACUUCAAAGCAGACUGCAAGCCUGGUCAGAAGUUUAUAGUUUCCUAGCAGCCAGUAUCUCAGGCAGCUGAAGGAAAAUGCCUUGACGUGGCAUUUUUGCCCUGCUUGUGUCAAAGCUACUUUAGCCAUCCUGUUUCCCACCAGGCCUGCCUGGUAUCAGGGGCGACCCAUACAAGAUGAGAUGGUUUCCAGAGCUCCUUGCAGAAGAGGCUCUCACACAAGGACCCCAGGGACUCCGGUCCAUGGUCUUAACUGCACCUUGACAGUCACUGUGCAAUGUGCUGCAAUGGAGCAGGAUCUGGGUUUCCCAGAGUUUUCCUCAUGACAGAAUGCUUCCUUUAUGCACUUUGUUGCCUCUGUGGCUGAGAAGGGUGAAUAAAACAACUCAAUAUGACUUAGAAAAAUAAUUUUGUCCGCAAGGUAUUUGGUGAAGAAGGACAAAGGUGUUGCAAGCAUGUGAGAAAUGUGGACACAGCUGGCUCCAGCCUCAAAGGAAGCUGCAGCUGUGUUGUCGAGAGAGUCCAAGGCUCUCCAAAAGCAAGCCAUGGAGCUGACACAAGAUAAUUAUUCUACUGAGGCUCAAGGCACACUUUGCUUUCCAGUGUUUUCUCUGUAACUGUAGCUAAGGCACUGCCAUAGCCCUCACACCUUGCUACAGGAUGCACAGAGUGAGAUAAAUCAUCCCAACCGUAGUGGAAAUGCUAAGUCAUGACCUGAAGCAGUGAUGGAGCACCUGGUGGGAAGACAGGGCCUACCCAAAGGAGCUCAGGUGCAUGCAAUGCAGCUGAGUGACUGAAAGGAUCUUGGCUCCAUCCCUUUCCAGACCCCAUUUAAGGGUUGGCAGUAGAGGUGAGGGUAUCUGACUGGACAUCCCUGUCUACCUGAGGCCCUCUGAAGACUGCUUCCAGAUUGAGGCUACUCAUUUUGCAAACAUAAGGAGUCCAGCUGGAUGGUUUGUGCUCAUCACUCCUCUACCAGCAAUAAGAGUUCUGCUGCCUUUAAUGUCACACCCAGCUGCGGAGAACUACAUUGAAAUUGUUGCUUCUGUAGAGAGCAGAUGGGAACGACAGCACUUAUUCUCCCUAGAACUCUGGUGAUGGAGUGGGAUCCCAGUGUCAAGAACGUGUUCAGGGAGUUGCACCCAGUCCCUGAACUACCCCGUAGGACUCUUUGCAGAUGGGUGACACACAGCAACCAGAGCAGCAGCCAGCCAUUCUGGUGUGAAAGGCAGUGGGUUCACCAUCGCUGGGGAUUUGGAGGGAUGCAGAGCUGUACCAGACAGAGCUCUUAUUGUUGGUGGGGUGAUGUGGUAUUCAAGGACCUCCCCGUGUCCAAGGAGAACCAAGAAACCCACCACUGACUCUUGAGUCUCUUCCCUGCCUCGUCUGCUAAUGGCUCAGGGAGAGAAUGGGAUGACACAGCUGCUGCAAUUGGAGACCAUUUCCAAGGGACAAUUCAAGACCAUCUUGAGCAGAGUGAGGAGAAAACAAACACAGCAGUCUCUGAGAGCAAGAAAGCAUUGCGAAAUGACAACUGUCUGCUCACUACAGCUGCUGUGGGUGUCCUCCAGCAAUCCACAGCUGCAGGAAAAAAUAAUGGCAGCAAUACAGAGAGCAAAAAGCUUCUGCAAAGGGGAAGAAACCUUUAUCAAUAUGCACAGAUUUCCUUGUGAGCUUUCCAGCUUACAUAGGCUAAGGAGUGAAGGUUAGCUAGCAUCUACUUUACUGAGAUGCAUCCCGAAUCUAUUCUGCAGGCUGCACUCUCCCAGAUGUUUCCUGUAGCUGGAUGGUGGUCAGCCUGCUGCCUGCCUUUGCCUGCUGUGCAGCCUCUCCUGCACUGCCAAAUGUUUUGCCUGCAGACCAUAUUUCCUCGUCUGGAGUUGGGUUUUCUUAAUUACCCGCCUGUGUUCCUGCCUUACAGAAAUUACUUGUUCCUGCCAGGCACUAAAUCCAAUGGUUGUGGGAAGUGUUUAUGUGGGAAUAAAAAUGGCAGGCUGACAAAUCCCUAGUGGCAAAGUUUUCUCUGGUGGACUUUUCACACUGAAACAGGGGAAGAUGAAGAGGGCUGGGAUGAGAGCCAGCCAUCUAACUGCUGUUCUGGAAAUUAGCUGUGCUUCUCUUUUCUGAGUAGCGGUUGUUAAGCUUGAAUUUAGCACGGUGUCAAGUGUGGGUUUCAUGAUCUCAGCUUGUGCUCACCCUGAGCUGUUCUGGGGGGAGCUUGGCAGCACUCAGAAGGGACACAGGCACCACAGCUUCAGCUUUACUUAUUCUGAAGCAAAGCCGUGCAAGCAGUUUAAAGGAAGAGAAUAUUUCUAAGAAAACUGUGGGGUUUUCUUCCUUAGGGAGAUUGUAGAUUUUAAUUUAUUUAAUGAAAAUUGUGCUUCCUUAAGCCCAGGUGCCUUUCUGCAUAAAAAUCAAAUGACCAAAGUGUGGAUUCUAGACCAAAUUCCUGAUGGCAGCCAAAGACAAUAUGCACGUUCAUGGGGAGGCACAGAAGUGAGUACUGUGUUUGCUGAAGCAGCUAGGGAGGAAGGAUGCCAUGGUGUCCAUUAAGAAUUCAGCAGCUGAACUUCUGCAUGGGUCUCAGAGCCAUCUGGGGCUUUCACUCACUGACUUGUCUUCUUUCGCUUCUCCAAACUCACUGUAGCUCCUGAUUUUUUGACACCAUGUGCAGUUUCUCUUCCAGUUUAUUGCCCUGGGUGACACCGGUUGCUAUUUUGUCACUCUCUCCUUGCCAUCACGCUGUCUUAUUAAGAGAGAAGCGUUUGCAUGAAUUAGUCAGGGAAGCAUCCGCAGUCAAACUAACACAUACAAGAGGUGGUAAAUAUUGACUCUUGUUGCUGUUAACUUGCCAUGCCUCCAGCUGCAUGGGAAAGGAGUGACAGCUGCAUCGCUGAAGCCGAUGACAGCUUGACUGACCUGGAGCUCAGGUUUAUCUAUUGGGGGAUACACAGUAGUCACAGCUCCUGGCU